ACACGACUACAUUAGAUACCCCCGUAGUCCUAGCCGUAAACGAUACUCGCUAGGUGUCGGCCAUGGUGCGACCGUUGUCGGUGCCGUAGGGAAGCCGUGAAGCGAGCCACCUGGGAAGUACGGCCGCAAGGCUGAAACUUAAAGGAAUUGGCGGGGGAGCACCACAACGGGUGGAGCUUGCGGUUUAAUUGGAUUCAACGCCGGAAAUCUUACCGGGACCGACAGCAACAUGAAGGCCAGGCUGAAGACUUUGCCGGAUUAGCUG
rnacentral:rRNA from 1 species